CGGAAUGAAUUCUUAGAUCCACGUCUCACCCGUGGAUGGCACGGCCGCCCCACGCGCAGAACCAAACCAGACACGCGUACGGCCAAUCGGCCGAAAAUUCCCCAAUCCAGGCCUGUUAGCCCCAACCCUAACCCUAGCCAAUCGCAUUCCCAUGGACGACGACGCCGGCGACGCCUCGCCGCCGCCGGGACCUGUCCCCCCUGCUGCCACAGGCGCCUCGUCGUCGCGUGACAUGGCUGCGUCCCCUACCAGCUCGCGCUCCGUGACGGAGACGGUGAACGGCUCCCACCGCUUCGUGAUCCAGGGCUACUCCCUCGCCAAGGGGAUGGGCGUCGGGAAGCACAUCGCGAGCGAGACCUUCACCGUCGGGGGAUACCAGUGGGCUAUCUACUUCUACCCAGACGGGAAGAACCCCGAGGACAACUCGGCCUACGUUUCCGUCUUCAUCGCGCUCGCUUCCGAGGGCACUGACGUCCGCGCUCUCUUUGAGCUCACACUGCAGGACCAGAGCGGCAAGGGCAAGCACAAGGUCCACUCCCACUUCGAUCGCUCGCUCGAGUCUGGCCCCUACACCCUCAAGUACCGAGGCUCUAUGUGGGGUUACAAACGGUUCUUUCGGCGAACUGCCCUUGAGACAUCGGACUUUCUUAAAGAUGAUUGUUUGAGGAUAAACUGCACUGUGGGUGUUGUGGUUUCAACUAUUGAUUACUCCAGACCACACUCCAUUCAGGUUCCAGACUCUGAUAUUGGCUACCACUUCGGUUCUCUUUUGGACAGUAAUGAAGGGGUUGAUGUUAUUCUUAAUGUGAGUGGAGAGAGGUUUCAUGCCCAUAAGUUGGUGUUGGCUGCACGGUCUACUGUAUUUAGAUCCAAACUUUUUGGCGAUGAAUCAGAAGGAGACAAGAACGAGGUUAAUGAGAGUGAGGAUCUGAAAGAGAUUGUUAUUGAUGAUCUAGAGCCCAAGGUUUUCAAGGCCAUGCUUCAUUUCAUCUACAGAGAUACCCUCGUUGAUGAUUAUGAGUUGGAUGCAUCAAGCUCCAUGGGCUCUAUUUUUGAUACUUUGGCGGCAAAGUUGUUGGCCGCAGCAGACAAGUAUGACUUAGGAAGGUUAAGAUUUCUAUGUGAAUCUUACUUGUGCAAAGGCAUUUCUGUGGCCUCGGUUGCAAAUACUCUUGCAUUGGCUGAUAGUCACCACGCCAUGGAGCUUAAAGCCGUUUGCCUAAAAUUUGCUGCAGAAAAUCUUUCAGCUGUGAUCCGGACUGACGGGUUUGAUUACCUCAAGGAUAAUUGCCCAUCACUUCAGUCGGAGAUACUGAGAACUGUUGCUGGGUGCGAGGAGCCGUGCAGUAGUGGCGGGAAAAGCCAGAGUGUAUGGGGACAGCUCUCGGACGGUGGCGACACUAGUGGCCGUAGGGUGAGGCCAAGAAUCUGAGGCCACCCCGAACUCUGCCCUGGUUAGGAGGCUCUUGUGUAAACGGGGCAACAAUUUGUUCUGUAUGUUGUGAAAACAGUUUAACUAGGUGAGACCCAUGCCAUCUUAUUGCGCUCUUUUUUACACUUCAAUUCAUAUUCAUAUGUUGUUAAUAGCUAUUUCAUUGUUUGAUCUUGGAACCUUUGCCUAGUCGCUGUGCUGAUUUAUAAUGAUAUGGGCGCGGCCUCGGACGCUCUGAUGUUUUGCCCCAAUCUUUUACGAUGCAAAACUCUCCAAUGCACCGAUAAAAUAAUACUCUAAUUACGUGCAACCUGAAGCAGGGGUGACGACGACAAACGGACAAUCCCUCCGGCUUCUCUUCGAAGUAGAUGUAACCAGCAUGCAGCCUGUCGGGAGCCAAGUGCAACUUUCACUGCAGAAAAUUCACGCAAAAUAAAUAACAAGAGGGCUGCUUAAUAUUCGAUACUUGUUUAACCUGUUGAAAAUAUAACCUUCCCUCGUAAUACUCACGUAUACUGCAUAUAUAAAGGCAAAAUACAAACCGCCAUCAAAAAGAGGACGGCGAGGCAUGCAGGCCCACCUCACGUACAUCUGGAAGAUAUCUGAAAGACGAACGUGUGUUGGGCUCGUGAUUCGUGAAUGACAGGUAUGGUUUCCUUCUGUGACGUCUUAGACGUGGUGGGGUGUUAGAUAUGAAGUUCGAUGGCGUGUUCGGGGUAUUACCCCGGUAUGAUUCGUUCAACGACAAAGUCUUUACUUUUGGUGAGUCACUUUGGUGAGGAGGUGAUUCGUCAUUCUUUUUUUCGGGGGCUGCUGUAGUAAUGCCGGAGGCAGAUGACGAACGUUGAUGUCAAGCUCAGAGAUGUGCUACUAUAUUUUCAGUUUUGUCAUGUCAGACUUUACGUGACUUGUAUUUCGAUCUUUAUAAAAUGAAUGGGACAUAUAUUAUC
rnacentral:rRNA from 1 species